rnacentral:rRNA from 1 species
UUAAGCGACUAAGCGUACACGGUGGAUGCCCUGGCAGUCAGAGGCGAUGAAGGACGUGCUAAUCUGCGAUAAGCGUCGGUAAGGUGAUAUGAACCGUUAUAACCGGCGAUUUCCGAAUGGGGAAACCCAGUGUGAUUCGUCACACUAUCAUUAACUGAAUCCAUAGGUUAAUGAGGCGAACCGGGGGAACUGAAACAUCUAAGUACCCCGAGGAAAAGAAAUCAACCGAGAUUCCCCCAGUAGCGGCGAGCGAACGGGGAGCAGCCCAGAGCCUGAAUCAGUGUGUGUGUUAGUGGAAGCGUCUGGAAAGGCGCGCGAUACAGGGUGACAGCCCCGUACACAAAAAUGCACAUGCUGUGAGCUCGAUGAGUAGGGCGGGACACGUGGUAUCCUGUCUGAAUAUGGGGGGACCAUCCUCCAAGGCUAAAUACUCCUGACUGACCGAUAGUGAACCAGUACCGUGAGGGAAAGGCGAAAAGAACCCCGGCGAGGGGAGUGAAAAAGAACCUGAAACCGUGUACGUACAAGCAGUGGGAGCACGCUUAGGCGUGUGACUGCGUACCUUUUGUAUAAUGGGUCAGCGACUUAUAUUCUGUAGCAAGGUUAACCGAAUAGGGGAGCCGAAGGGAAACCGAGUCUUAACUGGGCGUUAAGUUGCAGGGUAUAGACCCGAAACCCGGUGAUCUAGCCAUGGGCAGGUUGAAGGUUGGGUAACACUAACUGGAGGACCGAACCGACUAAUGUUGAAAAAUUAGCGGAUGACUUGUGGCUGGGGGUGAAAGGCCAAUCAAACCGGGAGAUAGCUGGUUCUCCCCGAAAGCUAUUUAGGUAGCGCCUCGUGAAUUCAUCUCCGGGGGUAGAGCACUGUUUCGGCAAGGGGGUCAUCCCGACUUACCAACCCGAUGCAAACUGCGAAUACCGGAGAAUGUUAUCACGGGAGACACACGGCGGGUGCUAACGUCCGUCGUGAAGAGGGAAACAACCCAGACCGCCAGCUAAGGUCCCAAAGUCAUGGUUAAGUGGGAAACGAUGUGGGAAGGCCCAGACAGCCAGGAUGUUGGCUUAGAAGCAGCCAUCAUUUAAAGAAAGCGUAAUAGCUCACUGGUCGAGUCGGCCUGCGCGGAAGAUGUAACGGGGCUAAACCAUGCACCGAAGCUGCGGCAGCGACGCUGAUGCGUUGUUGGGUAGGGGAGCGUUCUGUAAGCCUGCGAAGGUGUGCUGUGAGGCAUGCUGGAGGUAUCAGAAGUGCGAAUGCUGACAUAAGUAACGAUAAAGCGGGUGAAAAGCCCGCUCGCCGGAAGACCAAGGGUUCCUGUCCAACGUUAAUCGGGGCAGGGUGAGUCGACCCCUAAGGCGAGGCCGAAAGGCGUAGUCGAUGGGAAACAGGUUAAUAUUCCUGUACUUGGUGUUACUGCGAAGGGGGGACGGAGAAGGCUAUGUUGGCCGGGCGACGGUUGUCCCGGUUUAAGCGUGUAGGCUGGUUUUCCAGGCAAAUCCGGAAAAUCAAGGCUGAGGCGUGAUGACGAGGCACUACGGUGCUGAAGCAACAAAUGCCCUGCUUCCAGGAAAAGCCUCUAAGCAUCAGGUAACAUCAAAUCGUACCCCAAACCGACACAGGUGGUCAGGUAGAGAAUACCAAGGCGCUUGAGAGAACUCGGGUGAAGGAACUAGGCAAAAUGGUGCCGUAACUUCGGGAGAAGGCACGCUGAUAUGUAGGUGAAGUCCCUCGCGGAUGGAGCUGAAAUCAGUCGAAGAUACCAGCUGGCUGCAACUGUUUAUUAAAAACACAGCACUGUGCAAACACGAAAGUGGACGUAUACGGUGUGACGCCUGCCCGGUGCCGGAAGGUUAAUUGAUGGGGUCAGCGCAAGCGAAGCUCUUGAUCGAAGCCCCGGUAAACGGCGGCCGUAACUAUAACGGUCCUAAGGUAGCGAAAUUCCUUGUCGGGUAAGUUCCGACCUGCACGAAUGGCGUAAUGAUGGCCAGGCUGUCUCCACCCGAGACUCAGUGAAAUUGAACUCGCUGUGAAGAUGCAGUGUACCCGCGGCAAGACGGAAAGACCCCGUGAACCUUUACUAUAGCUUGACACUGAACAUUGAGCCUUGAUGUGUAGGAUAGGUGGGAGGCUUUGAAGUGUGGACGCCAGUCUGCAUGGAGCCG